GACGAACGCUGGCGGCGUGCUUAACACAUGCAAGUCGAACGGAAAGGCCCUGCUUUUGUGGGGUGCUCGAGUGGCGAACGGGUGAGUAACACGUGAGUAACCUGCCCUUGACUUUGGGAUAACUUCAGGAAACUGGGGCUAAUACCGGAUAGGAGCUCCUGCUGCAUGGUGGGGGUUGGAAAGUUUCGGCGGUUGGGGAUGGACUUGCGGCUUAUCAGCUUGUUGGUGGGGUAGUGGCUUACCAAGGCUUUGACGGGUAGCCGGCCUGAGAGGGUGACCGGCCACAAUGGGACUGAGGUACGGCCCAGACUCCUACGGGAGGCAGCAGUGGGGAAUAUUGCACAAUGGGCGGAAGCGUGAUGCAGAAACGCCGCGUGCGGGAUGACGGCCUUCGGGUUGUAAACCGCUUUCGCCUGUGACGAAGCGUGAGUGACGGUAAUGGGUAAAGAAGCACCGGCUAACUACGUG
rnacentral:rRNA from 1 species